rnacentral:rRNA from 1 species
UACGAAGGGUGCUAGCGUUGUUCGGAAUUACUGGGCGUAAAGCGUGCGCAGGCGGCUUCUCAAGUCAGGGGUGAAAGCCCAGAGCUCAACUCUGGAAUUGCCUUUGAGACUGAGUGGCUUGAGUACGGGAGAGGUGAGUGGAAUUCCCAGUGUAGAGGUGAAAUUCGUAGAUAUUGGGAAGAACACCGGUGGCGAAGGCGGCUCACUGGCCCGUAACUGACGCUCAUGCACGACAGCGUGGGGAUCAAACAGG